UGGGGAAUUUUGGACAAUGGGGGCAACCCUGAUCCAGCAAUGCCGCGUGAGUGAAGAAGGCCUUCGGGUUGUAAAGCUCUUUUGUCAGGGAAGAAACGGUAGUAGCGAAUAACUACUACUAAUGACGGUACCUGAAGAAUAAGCACCGGCUAACUACGUGCCAGCAGCCGCGGUAAUACGUAGGGUGCAAGCGUUAAUCGGAAUUACUGGGCGUAAAGCGUGCGCAGGCGGUUGUGUAAGUCAGAUGUGAAAUCCCCGGGCUCAACCUGGGAAUUGCAUUUGAGACUGCACGGCUAGAGUGUGUCAGAGGGGGGUAGAAUUCCACGUGUAGCAGUGAAAUGCGUAGAUAUGUGGAGGAAUACCGAUGGCGAAGGCAGCCCCCUGGGAUAACACUGACGCUCAUGCACGAAAGCGUGGGGAGCAAACAGGAUUAGAUACCCGAGUAGUCCCUGAGCGGGCUGGCAAGGCGCAU
rnacentral:rRNA from 1 species